UGGGGAAUUUUGGACAAUGGGCGAAAGCCUGAUCCAGCAAUGCCGCGUGUGUGAAGAAGGCCUUCGGGUUGUAAAGCACUUUUGUCCGGAAAGAAAUCCUUGGCUCUAAUACAGUCGGGGGAUGACGGUACCGGAAGAAUAAGCACCGGCUAACUACGUGCCAGCAGCCGCGGUAAUACGUAGGGUGCAAGCGUUAAUCGGAAUUACUGGGCGUAAAGCGUGCGCAGGCGGUUUGCUAAGACCGAUGUGAAAUCCCCGGGCUCAACCUGGGAACUGCAUUGGUGACUGGCAGGCUAGAGUAUGGCAGAGGGGGGUAGAAUUCCACGUGUAGCAGUGAAAUGCGUAGAGAUGUGGAGGAAUACCGAUGGCGAAGGCAGCCCCCUGGGCCAAUACUGACGCUCAUGCACGAAAGCGUGGGGAGCAAACAGGAUUAGAUACCCUGGUAGUCCACGCCCUAAACGAUGUCAACUAGUUGUUGGGGGAUUCAUUUCCUUAGUAACGUAGCUAACGCGUGAAGUUGACCGCCUGGGGAGUACGGUCGCAAGAUUAAAACUCAAUGAAUUGACGGGGUCAUAGCUGUUUCCU
rnacentral:rRNA from 1 species